rnacentral:pre_miRNA from 1 species
CGGGGGAGGCUGGAUCCUGGGCUGUGUCCCUGCGCCCUGUGCUCCCGGUCUGCACUGUUGGAUUCGCGCUCCCUCCCCACAUCCCCUC